GCCGAAGUGGCGGAAUUGGUAGACGCGCUAGGUUCAGGGUCUAGUGGGCGCAGGCCUGUGCGGGUUCGAGUCCCGCCUUCGGCACCA
rnacentral:tRNA from 1 species